UCUCCGUUGGUGAACCAGCGGAGGGAUCAUUACCGAGUUUACAACUCCCAAACCCAAUGUGAACGUUACCAAACUGUUGCCUCGGCGGGAUCUCUGCCCCGGGUGCGUCGCAGCCCCGGACCAAGGCGCCCGCCGGAGGACUAACCUAAAACUCUUAUUGUAUACCCCCUCGCGGGUUUUUUUAUAAUCUGAGCCUUCUCGGCGCCUCUCGUAGGCGUUUCGAAAAUGAAUCAAAACUUUCAACAACGGAUCUCUUGGUUCUG
rnacentral:misc_RNA from 1 species